rnacentral:rRNA from 1 species
UACAGAGGUCUCGAGCGUUAGGCGGAAUCACUGGGCUUAAAGCGUGUGUAGGUGGAUCGUUAAGUACCUUGUGAAAUCCCACGGCUUAACCGUGGAACUGCUUGGUAUACUGGCGGUCUUGAGCCACUUAGGGGCUACCGGAACAAAUGGUGGAGCGGUGAAAUGCGUAGAUAUCAGGAGGAAUACCGAUGGCGAAGGCAGGUCUCUGGGCUGACACUGACGCUCAUGCACGAAAGCGUGGGGAGCAAACAGG